GAGCAUAUCUUGGUUCAGUCUACCUUUCAAAUGGUUGUAUAGAUACCCCACACAAUGGUUAGAGUAAUAGCAAGAGGGAGGGAUUGUGUCUUGAGAAAGCUACACUUCACAGACAUCUCAAGUUCUGGCACCCCAGAUAAAGGAUGAAGGUCCCUGCC